UUUAGAGACCUGUCAGUACACUGUGGCAGGAAGGCAUGGUGACAGUUGUUCAUGUCACAGCAAGUGGGAAGCAGAGGUCACAGCUGGAACCAAGGGUAAAUAUGGCCUACAAAAACCCUGUACCAGAGACCUAUUUCUGCCAGCCAAGCCCCACUUCCUCCUGGCUCCACAAACUUCAGAAUGAUCCUACAAGCUGGGGACUGGGUGUUCACAAGUAUAAGCCUGUGAAGAAGAUUCCAGAUUUAAGCCAUAACUUCAGAGAAGGAGCUGGGGACUGGGGACCAGGAGAGGCACCAUGGGAGACAGCACAGGAUAGAUGGAAGAGGAACUCUGUGUCCUGUGAUGCAACUACGUACGAUGUGACCCAGAACCGCAUUAGGUUGCAUCGGCAGUCAUGCCAAAACACUGUUUAGAACCAUGGACUCUCUCUUUCAUCAAGAGCCGCAGUGGGGAGCGGAGAAGGCAUUCCACUACAGAGGCGCAGCUGAAUUCUCUGGUAGAAGGCUUCUCUGCGCUCCCAGCCACAGCUGCCACCAAGCCUGCCAUCACCAAGGUGGUGUCUCAGCGCUUCCCUACAGCCCAGCACCCCACCCCUAC